AGACCUCUCAGUGUAGGUAGGCUACAUUUUUAGCAUAAGUUUCCUUUAUUUGCUUUGUUAAUGUAAUCCUGUUGAAAACUGUUUUGUAACUUCCUGGAAACAACAACAACAACAACAACACGGAAUUGGAGCAGGAGGGCUCGUUUUAUCCUCCCAAUUUGGCCAUGGUUGCUUGUUAUCCGGGCAAUGGAACGGGUUAUGUACGUCAUGUUGAUAAUCCAAAUGGAGAUGGAAGAUGUGUGACAUGUAUAUAUUAUCUUAAUAAAGACUGGGAUGCCAAGGUAAGUGGAGGUAUACUUCGAAUUUUUCCAGAAGGCAAAGCCCAGUUUGCUGACAUUGAACCCAAAUUUGAUAGACUGCUGUUUUUCUGGUCUGACCGUCGCAACCCUCAUGAAGUACAACCAGCAUAUGCUACAAGGUACGCAAUAACUGUUUGGUAUUUUGAUGCAGAUGAGAGAGCACGAGCUAAAGUAAAAUAUCUAACAGGUGAAAAAGGUGUGAGGGUUGAACUCAAUAAACCUUCAGAUUCAGUCAGUAAAGAUGUCUUCUAGAGCCUUUGAUCCAGCAAUACCCCACUUCACCUACAAUAAUUGUUAACUAUUUGUUAACUUGUGAAUACGAAUAAAUGGGAUAAAGAAAAAUAGACAAGCAGUUCGCAUUUUAAUAAGGAAACAGAAACAACUUUUUGUGUUGCAUCAAACAGAAGAUUUUGACUGCUGUGACUUUGUACUGCAUGAUCCACUUCGAAUCUGUGAUUGCUUACAGGAGGAAGAUAAGCUACUAAUUGAAAAUGGUUUUUACAUCUGGAUAUGAAAUAAGUGCC
rnacentral:sRNA from 1 species